rnacentral:lncRNA from 1 species
GCUUAUCAAACUGACGAUCCGUUGUCCCCUUCUUCACUUGGCCCUUAGCUUUCGGUGCCUUCUGUUGAGGUGGUGGUUGUUGCUGUGGUACCGAUGGAUUACCAACAGGAAUGGUUAUAGUGGCAGCAUAAGGGUGGUAACGAUCCUUACCGCGUUCUUUUUCGGCCUGCACACCACCUGAUUCAACCUCCUUCUUGGGCUGACCAUUGCCAGAGGGCUUCUGUACUACGGAUGACGGAGCCUUUCCCUGAACUUUCUCCUUUAUCAUCCAGCUUUC